CGGACCGGCUCGGCCCCUCGGCCCGCGGGGCGGCCGGGAGCCCGCAGGCUGCGGCUGGGCUUCGAGGAGAAGGGCGAGCACCGGCAGGCUGGCAAUUAGCUGGAGUAAUUGGCAGCACGCUGCUUGCCUGGGGUUUCGGCCUGCCUCUGGCUCUCGCAGGGGAUACACUCCCUUAGCCCCCGCUCAGUCCAUGUUUAAUACGGAAGGUACUCCUAAUGUCUAUGAGGAAACCCGUGAAGGCGCGUGAGGCUUCUUGUGCGGUCAGGUGUAGGGGAAUGAGGUCUCACCCCUGCAGCCCUUUGACAUGGAGCCAAACUCUGAAUCCGCACACUCUGCUCUGAAGUGGGUCUACUUGGACGUUUGGAGCCCGCUCGAGGAAAGUCGUCAUUCCUGGAAGGAGAUACGAAGUAUGAAAUGGAAGACAUUUCUACAUGAGAAAAGAUCACGUAUGAUACAUCUGUACUGGCAUAAUCACAUCUCUAUACCUACACCAGUACAUUUUUGUGUGCAUAGGAAGCCCUAUGUACAGCAUUAACCUCAUUUUAAAGCACAGCGAGACUGAGGCCCUGCAGAUUACGGGAACAGCAGUCCUGGCUUGGCACAUCCAUCCUCCCAGGUGUGCAAGGAUUCUGAAGAAACAGAACUGAAAUGGCUUGCCCAAGGUCAGGAGGAGCACAAUGCAACUGAGAUAUUAUCAGUGUAAUGAAGACAUUUCCAAGCAAUGCACAGAAGAAACAAGAGGCUGUUACUCUUUUUGUGCUGAAAUCAGGGCCAGGUGUCCGGGUGCAGCAGUAGUGACUGCGCCAACAGCAGUACCUCAGCGCUCCAGUUUCACAUGGAGAAAUAUGUGGAGAAGGCCUGGGAUGGGCAGCAGGCUCCGAGCAUCUAUUCAGUGCAUGGUUCACACUAAGCAGAUAUGACAAGACAGUAAUUAGGGAAGCACUGCAGUUUGUCAGGUGUCUUGUUAGAACCACAUUUUUACCUCUUCUGUUGUUGUUAGGGUUGACUGGUUGGUUCGCUUCGGUAUGAGAAAAUUAAUUUUCUUCUUAGACUGAGGCUUGGGGAGGAUCGCAUUAAUAUGCUCUUUUACCUAUACAGGGCAACAAAAUAGGCCAGUGUGGCCUUGUGCUGAUGUUUAAUAACCUGAACGACUGUUCUGGACAGGGUUGGUCAGAGGGUUGGUCAGAGCUGGCUUGAUCAGUUGGGCCACGUAAUUGUUCUACCUGAAGAUGUUACAGAGGACAUUAUUUCUUUUUUCAUAUCCUACUGUGCAAUGACAUUAGUGUUCAGUCUGCUGCAAGAAAACAUGACAUGGGGCUAGGAGCAAUGAAGGAGACAAACAGUUUUUUUGGAAACAGUCUGACUUUUCAUCAGAUCAGGUGUAAAAUCAAAUGAAACCAUCAGUUAUAAGGCUCAUAAGCCUGAUCUUUAGUGGAAUUGGGGCAUUUAUGCAGAUAAACUUCUAAUAAGAUUUUCAAAGGCAGCAUUAAUCUCUUAGACACUUUUUAAAAUCUCGGCAAGCACCUGCCUAAUCACCUUUAAAAUCUGGCUCUCAAAAACAGCUUAUUAGAAGGCAUAGUGCUAAGACACUCAUUAUAUUGCAUAUUUUUUUCUAUUACAUCACAUAACAAAUAUUUAAGAAAUACUAUGAUGACAACUGCUACCUUUACUAUUAGCUUUCAAUCAUCCUCUAAAAUCAGAGUUUAUAUGCAGAUUAUUAUUUAGUAUUUCUUGUUAACCUCAGCCAGGCAGCAUGUUUCAUCUGGCUUAUUCACAGGGGUUCCAGGGCUAGCAAGUGCCUUCUGGAGACAGUUUAGCACCAAACACAGUAACUUUGCUUCGCCUUUAGGUUUACCAGGUUUGUGCCAGAAACUAGAGCUUUGUGGCUAAUUAAAUUGUAUCAAACACCUAACUUAUUAUUUACAUUAAAAUCACUAGAGUCAUUUUCGUUUUAGCCAUUACAGUAUUGCCCUAGCAUGGGAAAAUAUGAGCAGUAUUUUCUGAGAGGAGAGGAGUUCUGUCAGGAAGAAUAAUGGCUUUCUAAGGAUACUUGAUUUCAUAAUUUCCUUCUUUCCUGGGCUGGUUGGUAAAAAGUACUUAUCAGCCUCUGUCCUCCAUGGCUUGUCUUCUUUAAAUAGGUGAGGUAUUAAACAAGCCUCCCACCACAGCAUUAUUAAAAGUGGAUAUGCAGACUGUUUAGCAGUUACACAAAUCUGUUUGGGAAAGAUGCCUCAGGCAGAAGACAGCAUGUGGGAGAAGGUAAGAAGUAUUUUUAAGAGGUCAUCAUAACUGCAAAGAGCUCAGUACAGUUUUCCAAACCCCUUUGGGUACAAGGCACUGGCUAGCCCUGGUAGCACAGAGUUGGCAGCUGAUUUCCACUGCCGAGAAAGGCAGUUGGGUCUGUGCUGGGCAAGGGUAUUUGAGCCCUGCACAGCAGCAGGAGUGGUAUGGUGCCCAUGGGGUGGAUGAACUGUGGCCUCCAAAGGCCAUCUGAAUGGGGCAUCAAAAUGACAGCUGCAGCUGAGCUGAGCUGCUCACCUGACACCCUGUCCCCAUUAAAGAGGACACAGUGGCCCUCCUGUCCCCCCUUUUCCCUGCUGAGCGCUCUGCUGGCAUCUGCAGGCAGCUGGGGCAGGGGGAGAGCAGAAGGACAGUGCCUCAGCAGCUGUUCUGUGCCAGAGGCUGAUCUGACCGCAUCCUCAAGCAUCGAGAUUCAACUUUGCUUACCCUGAAGAGAAGCUUUGAGCUGGCACUGUGCAGGUUGCACACAAACCUAGAGGAAGUAAGCUAUAAAGGCCUUAAAGGUAGAAGUUGUGAGGGUUUUCUAUACGCCUUCUUCAGUGUGUCCAGCAUUUACUAAAAUGAACCCUUCAUGAGUUUGUCCCUGUAGAGUCAAAAGUCUUCUUUGGGACCUACCUUUGCUUCCUGACUCACUCACAUAC